GGCGAACGCUGGCGGCGUGCUUAACACAUGCAAGUCGAGCGAGUGGAUUCCCUUCGGGGAUGAAGCUAGCGGCGGACGGGUGAGUAACACGUGGGCAACCUGCCUUAUAGAGGGGGAUAGCCUUCCGAAAGGAAGAUUAAUACCGCAUAACAUCAGAUUAUCGCAUGGUAGACUGAUCAAAGGAGCAAUCCGCUAUAAGAUGGGCCCGCGUCGCAUUUGCUAGUUGGUGAGGUAACGGCUCACCAAGGCGACGAUGCGUAGCCGACCUGAGAGGGUGAUCGGCCACAUUGGGACUGAGACACGGCCCAGACUCCUACGGGAGGCAGCAGUGGGGAAUAUUGCACAAUGGGGGAAACCCUGAUGCAGCAACGCCGCGUGAGUGAUGAAGGCCUUCGGGUUGUAAAGCUCUUUGAUCAGGGACGAUAAUGACGGUACCUGAAGAACAAGCCACGGCUAACUACGUGCCAGCAGCCGCAGUAACAC
rnacentral:rRNA from 1 species